CUGCAUCUCCCUCCUCCAUGACCGUGGCCACUAGCUACCCCUUGCCUCUUCCCUUUCCGCUCCUCUUGUGGACGGUGAAGGAGAGAGCGACGGGGCACGAGUAUCCUCACCACAGUAUAAACGGAACACCCACCUUCUUAGUUGUGGCUAACUAACGGCUCGGCAAAUUUGUGGCGGCGACGACCGCCCACGCUCCUCUUCCUCCGCUUUCUCGGAAUCGUGGCCUCCUCUUUGAUCAAGCUCGUCGUCUUCCACAAGGGCGGCGUCAACGCAGGAGGCUCUGGGUGGCCGUGGCGGCUGCGAGGAGGUAGCCUAUGGAGUCUAGCGACCGGACAAGGGCAAGGGUGCUGAUCCCCCCUACCCCCAAUCCCGAUGGGGCCACCAUCGACCAGAUCUUCAGCACGCCAGGUUCGCCCACUCUUUCCCUUUCCGCAACACUUGGAUCCCUAUUUUCUUCCCCGUUCUCUUUUACAUCGAAAUAUCAACUGAUGAUGAACAAAUUAAUGUGUCGAUGCAUCUUGUUAGUUAGUAGUAUUACUGAUGGUGGCAUUAUUUUACCCUUGUCUAUUAGAUCAGAAAUAGUUAGGAAAUAAGCACAUGUAUCUCAUAUUUGGAAACAGUGGCAAUGACUUCAUCCAUUAAUUCGUGCACACAAUCAUGUUCCACUGUGAUGAUUGAAGUUCAAUUGGUAAUCCUGUGGAAGCUAACUCAUUGAUUUACAAGGAUGGAAGAUCUAUGAUUUGAUGGACGUAGUUAGCAAACAAUUGGAUUUCAUACUUUGAUUGAGCAAAAAAUACACACACCAUUAUCGUCAUGUCAAUCAAACUGUAAUUGAGGGAAUGGUAGCAAAGGAGAUGUUCCACAAGCACUAACAAACCAUCGAGCAGACAAAUCGACAAGUAAGUUUAUUUGGCAACGCAAUGAUGUUAUGUCAACUAGGGGUAUAUUAGGAGGAUCUUAUGAGUGAUGCUUAUUUUCAUUUUGAGUAGUUAAUUACACUUUCCAUGGGUGCUUUGAUUGCUUGACAGUUGUACUUAAAAACUCACAUAUUCUAAUGGGCAUGUCAUUAUCGUCAAUGGCGGUGUCGGGACAGGUAGUAAGAUAUAUAGAUCUUGAUUUUCAUGAGCUAUAAAUCUCUGAUCCUAAGCCUUUAGCUGCUGUCAAUUUGUGGAAUUUAUGACAAUACCCUUUUUCCUGUGCACUGUUUGAGUGUCCGUUCUCAUAUGUUUGCCUCGCAUAAGCAGAUGCGCUAGUAGAUCAGGAAAUAUGAUGGGUUGGUAGAAGCUCACUAACUGGCUGAAAUUUGUGCAAUUCUUCCUAUUCUACUUUCCCUUUUUUUGGAAGGUCCAGCAAUAGCUGACCUUCAUUGAUCAUUAGCAGAGAGCAGCGGCAGAAUGUGACAAGGUGGUUGAAAGAACAUGCGGUGCCCCCAUGUUUGGUUUUGGUAAUUGAUGACAAUCUCUAUGGACUAAUGGUUGCCUUGAGUUAUAUUUGAAGGAUUUGUCCAUAGGCAU